rnacentral:rRNA from 1 species
GGCGUGUACUGCUUGGCUGGGCCUUACUUCUUGGUGAGCCGGCGUGCCCUUUAUUGGUGUGCGUCGGGGAACCAAGACUUUUACCUUGAGAAAAUUAGAGUGUUCAAAGCAGGCCUAUGCCUGAAUACAUUAGCAUGGAAUAAUAGAAUAGGACGUGCGGUUCUAUUUUGUUGGUUUCUAGAGUCCCCGUAAUGAUUAAUAGGGACAGUUGGGGGCAUUGGUAUUGAGUCGCUAGAGGUGAAAUUCUUGGAUUGACUCAAGACCGACUAUUGCGAAAGCAUUUGCCAAGGAUGUUUUCAUUAAUCAAGAACGAAGGUUAGGGGAUCGAAAACGAUCAGAUACCGUUGUAGUCUUAACAGUAAACUAUGCCGACUAGGGAUCGGAUGACCUCAAAAUUGAUGUGUCAUUCGGCACCUUACGAGAAAUCAAAGUCUUUGGGUUUUGGGGGGAGUAUGGUCGCAAGGCUGAAACUUAAAGGAAUUGACGGAAGGGCACCACCAGGUGUGGAGCCUGCGGCUUAAUUUGACUCAACACGGGGAAACUCACCAGGUCCAGACAUAACUAGGAUUGACAGAUUGAUAGCUCUUUCAUGAUUUUAUGGGUGGUGGUGCAUGGCCGUUCUUAGUUGGUGGAGUGAUUUGUCUGGUUAAUUCCGAUAACGAACGAGACCUUAACCUGCUAAAUAGCCAGCCCGGCUUCGGCUGGUCUCUGGCUUCUAGAGGGACUGUCAG